UGCCAUCACUCGUUCAGACGGCCGAUUGGCUGACGGUCCCGUCAAUCUCCGGGGACAUGACUAGCCUCAGACACCUCAGAAAAUUAUUUUCUGUGUGAGGCUGAAACUGUUGGAGGCUUCCUGAGAUCAUUCUUGAGAAUGGAGCGACCACAUAGGGGUGAGCAGAACCAAGAGAAUCUCAGGGAAAUGGAGCCAAUCAACUGAGUUAGGUCACCCCUAACUUCAACCCACACUUGAGUGUUAGAGAAGAUUCUACAAAGAGAGCAGACUUUUCUAGUACCUUUCAAUUCUCACCAUGUAGGUAACCAUAUUCUCUAGCAACUGGGAUAUAUGUCUUUCUCAAAAGUUCCAGUUAUCUAACACCUUCACAGGUGUCACAGCUCUCCAGAAAAUAAAAUCAACUCUGUGUG
rnacentral:lncRNA from 10 species